AUCUAUGGCCAUACCACCCUGAGUGCGCCUGAUCUCAUCUGAUCUCAGAAGCUAAGCAGUGUUGGGCCUGGUUAGUACUUGGAUGGGAGUAAUAACAGGGCCUCAGUUU
ensembl:rRNA 5S_rRNA 5S ribosomal RNA